rnacentral:pre_miRNA from 1 species
CAAAUGUUUAUUUCUGGCAACACUAUCCUGAUGCUGUCAGAGUAUGUGGUAAAGCUCCAGCAUCAGUGAUUUUGUUGUUAGUGGUAAAUUCAA